rnacentral:lncRNA from 1 species
AUGAAUACGAGCUAUUCGUAGUAGUGUGUAGUAGUGGAUUGUAGUAGGAUAAGAAUACACGUCACAAACGUGUUUUCAUACAACCUACCAGGCCUCGCUCUCACACACCAGUUUACUAAACUAGCAAGCAGCUUUCGAUCUACUCCGAAGCGACGUUGCCACGUUAGUUUAGAAUGGAUUAUGGAACGGAAUGGAAUGGAAUGAGCUGCUCGAGCUCUACGUUGCUCCUGCUAACAAUCUCAAUUUUUACCCAGGCCUAGACUCCCACGGAGUCUUUUUUUCUUUCAUUUUAGUCGUCUAUUCUCUUCUCUUAUUCUUGUACCUCAGGUUGAAGUUGGGAACGUCAACGUAAUUCGAUUGAGAAAUGAAAAACCAGGAGAAUUCCAUGAAAGAAUCAAAUAGAGGUCAAAAUAUUCAGGCUGAGUUAUUAGGUAUACCUAGACUUUUUCUAAUUUACAAACUUUUGCAAUCAUCAACCGCUCUCUGCUUCGUGGAUUUCAAAAUCUCAUCCAUCGCAACUUUGAUUCUUUGACGCCGUUUCAAUCGAGCUAUCCCCUUGAAUUUCGAUACAGCCAUAUGAGCAUUUGAUUAUAUUACUUGAAGAAAACAAAAUAAUUAACAUAUACUGUCUUGGUUAAACUUUUAUAAGACAUUAAUUUCUUAUUGCGAUGCUAGUUCGUCGAUGAAGCAGAUAUUUGGUUGAAAAAGAUGUGAUCCUUUAUAAUUUUGUUUCUACCUUGACUUUAAAGCAGACCUUUCAUUCCGACCCUCAGCUGCUGCACCAAUACUAAGAAAUUAUAUUCAACCAUUUUGAAACCGCAAUUCGGUCCUGAAUACCACUAAAAAUGACCUGCUGGGAAGAAUAACAGCCUCAAAGGAAUUCACCUGAAUACAAUAAAUUGAAUUUCUCGUUUGAGAAUUCAUCAGCAUUCCAUAUUAUAGACAUACUGCUGUCACUCCAGAAACCUUAAAAGUAGGACUUGGUCUGACAAAACUCUUUGAUGCAACCUCGUAUUCGAAAGUUUUAAGUUAAUUCAUAACCACCCUGUAGAUGUAACAGGAUGUAGAGUGCUCGAACACUCUGAAUGUACAUUUACUUGUAGUGAGAGGAAAUGGAUGACUGUAUGAGUUUGAAUGUGAAAAGAUGUGCGUGCGUGUGCGUUCAUGUAUAUGGAGUAUUCCACGCUAUGCGACCAUUUCCUGACCCUCAAUGAUCCUUUUUCCUUCUAUUUUUUUCAGGCGAUAGACGCAACUCCCGGAAAAUUGGGAUACCACAGAAUACAGGACGUUCAAGAUUUAAGAUUCGCAGUUUUGGAAGAAAAUGAUGAACAGAAAUUCUUUUGAGGUUUCAAAGACGGUGUAUUAUCACCUGAAAGAAUGACAAAAAUGAAAAGAAGAGCUGGUCGACUCGACAUGGAACGUCCCAUACUUAUAUGUAUAGUCGAUUCCUCGCAUACCAUUGGUUUAUCUGAUAUUUGUAGGGAAGUUUAUUCAUCAUUUUCGAGUCGGUCAGUUUUUGCUCUGGCAGAAAUAGAUGAAUAAUGAGAAGAGAAAAGAAGGAGCAAAAAAGAAACGGAUCAGAAAAGGAAAAAGCAGGAUGAGGAGAGAGAAAGAACGAGAGAUCUGAGCAGCUGAACGGACUACGAACUUUGUGCAGAUGGCUGGCAUGGCGCAUGUGAUCACGAUUACCAAUUAUCACGGUAUAAGUAUAUAGUUUGAAAGAAAUUGAUAUGGAGAGGUGUACAACAAAGACGUAUGCCGAUUGAUUAAUUACUUUGAUGAAUAAUGAGAUAAGAUACGAUAAGAAGUGCAUACUUUCUUCAUCGUCUUGAUGCAAGUAGAAAUCACAACUUGGAAAAUGAAUCCUAUGCUCUCUGUCUGGAUCGUCGCCUGGUUCCCAUUUCAUAACAACGCCGCGGCAAAAGGCACAUUCUACCUAAGGUUCUUGACUUUGAGUGGGUGAGUGAGAAGUUGCUGAUAUUUGAUUCUGGUUAUUAUGUGACCUCCGAGGCUGAGCUGGAGAUGGUGUAGAUGAUGACGAAGACGACGUGGAUAAACAGGACAUAGUAUUUGGGGAAGGAGUUAAUGGCAAACAGGACAGAGUAUUUGAGGAAGGAGUUAAUGGCACAUUGCAGGUACUUGAGGGGUUCAAAACAAAGGGACAGUUUGGGUCUAU